CACACACACACACACACACACACACACACACACACACACACACUUGGUUUUUCCUGAACUGGUCUGAGAAGUGUCUUAAAGCCUUAUCCAGGACCACGACCCGCUCUUUGCUCUUCUUGAACUUUGGGAGACUUUUAACUCCCCCUGAUGGGACACACACAGCCUCCACAUGUAGUUCUUCUUAAGGGGUGGUCAGGGGAAAUUGAGUUUUUGGGCGGGGGGGGGGGGGGGGUGUAAGGGGGAGUCAAAGGCAGCUAAAGGAGAUUUGGUUGCUAUUAUUUUGAAGUGCUGCGUGUUGGUAACUUAAGGAAGUAACACAAAUCAUUUUGUACUUUCAGUGUAUGUUUAUUAUUAAUGUUAUUACUGUUGUUAUUAUUAUUGUAUUACUGCAUAAAUGUAAUAUAUUAUUAAAGAACUAACUGAUCGGUUUAGUUCCGUGGCUGUGUUUUUUCUUUUCUCAUCUGGGAUAUUGGAACAAUUAAAAAAGUAACGACACUUUCCGUUACCUUUAGUCUACAACUGCCAACUUUUCAAUCCAAAAGGUGGUGACGGUUUUUAUUUGUCACAAUACUGCUAUUUGUUAUUGAUCCGUGAGGCCUGAGUCUACUGUGACUUCACCAGGAAGGUCACAGCGGGGGCUGCAAAUAACACUUAAUUUCGUUAUUGAUUGAUGUGUCGAUUUGUUUUAGGUCAAUUGCUCUGUCUAUACGAUUACUUAAAAUAGUGAAAAAUGUUAGAUUCCUGUGACGUCUUCCCUUUAUAUUAUAUUAUUAUUAUAACACCUGAAAAUCAAAGAAAGUUUAUAAUGCAAUUUGAAAUGGUUUCAACACUAAAAUCUUUCAAUUUUUUUCACUUUGGUCCAGACUGAAAUAUCUACACAGCGUUUACACUGGUGCCGUUAACCAUGAGACAUUCGUGUUUCCCAGAGGAUGAACCCAACUUACUUCAGUGGUCCUUUGACUUUCCACAGAUCAACAUGUUCACUUAGCCGGUGACAUUGUCCAACAUCUUCUUGGAAUAACAAUUUGUCAAACAUUCGUGCUCUCCAGAUGACCCCCCCUG
ensembl:lncRNA